rnacentral:rRNA from 1 species
UACGGAGGGUGCAAGCGUUAUUCGGAAUCAUUGGGCGUAAAGGGCGCGUAGGCUGUCUGACAAGUCAGAUGUGAAAUCCCGGGGCUUAACCCCGGUAGGUCAUUUGAAACUGUCAGACUUGAGUGAGGUAGAGGAAAGCGGAAUUCCUGGUGUAGCGGUGAAAUGCGUAGAUAUCAGGAGGAACAUCUGUGGCGAAGGCGGCUUUCUGGACCUAAACUGACGCUGAGGCGCGAAGGCGUGGGUAGCAAACGGG